UAACAAACACUAAACCAAACUCUUGCCAACAAAUCGGGCNACUCUAUAAAAAUAUAGAAGCACUAAUGCUAGAACUAGUAACAAGAAUAAAUCUCUUCGCACAACUGUAAAUCAGCAAUAGAAAAACUACUGAAAAUUAACAACCCGAAAUACAACAC
rnacentral:rRNA from 1 species